UCUCAUCUUCCUCCCGCACAUUUAUCAGAGGAAGAAGAUCAGACGGAGUUGCCAGUUUUCUAGGGUUUUGUUCAAUCUUAUUAUUAUAAAUCAACCAAAAAUGGCGGCUCCACCUGCUAGAGGUCGAGCGGAUUACGAUUACCUUGUCAAGCUUCUCUUGAUUGGCGAUAGCGGUAUGCAUUCCUUUGUUUCGGAUCCUGAUGUACGUUUAUUUGAUUUAUGUUGAUUUUGUAUGA
rnacentral:lncRNA from 1 species